UACGUAGGGGGGCUAGCGUUGUCCGGAAUCAUUGGGCGUAAAGAGCGUGUAGGCGGCCCGGUAAGUCCGCUGUGAAAGUCGGGGGGCUCAACCCUCGGAUGCCGGUGGAUACUGUCGGGCUCGAGUACGGAAGAGGCGAGUGGAAUUCCUGGUGUAGCGGUGAAAUGCGCAGAUAUCAGGAGGAACACCUAUUGCGAAGGCAGCUCGCUGGGACGUUACUGACGCUGAGACGCGAAAGCGUGGGAAGCAAACAGG
rnacentral:rRNA from 1 species